GUUGGGUUAAGUCCCGCAACGAGCGCAACCCUUGCCAUUAAUUGCCAUCAUUUAGUUGGGCACUUUAAUGGGACUGCCGGUGACAAACCGGAGGAAGGUGGGGAUGACGUCAAGUCCUCAUGGCCCUUAUGGCCAGGGCUUCACACGUAAUACAAUGGUCGGUACAGAGGGUUGCCAACCCGCGAGGGGGAGCCAAUCCCAGAAAGCCGAUCGUAGUCCGGAUUGUAGUCUGCAACUCGACUGCAUGAAGUCGGAAUCGCUAGUAAUCGCGGAUCAGCAUGUCGCGGUGAAUACGUUCCCGGGCCUUGUACACACCGCCCGUCACACCAUGGGAGUGGGUUUUACCAGAAGUAGUUAGUCUAACCGCAAGGAAGACGAUUACCACGGUAGGAUUCAUGACUGGGGUGAAGUCGUAACAAGUACC
rnacentral:rRNA from 1 species